rnacentral:rRNA from 1 species
AUUGAACGCUGGCGGCAGGCUUAACACAUGCAAGUCGAGCGGAGAUGAGGUGCUUGCACCUUAUCUUAGCGGCGGACGGGUGAGUAAUGCUUAGGAAUCUGCCUAUUAGUGGGGGACAACAUUCCGAAAGGAAUGCUAAUACCGCAUACGCCCUACGGGGGAACGCAGGGGAUCUUCGGACAUCGCGCUAAUAGAUGAGCCUAAGUCGGAUUAGCUAGUUGGUGGGGUAAAGGCCUACCAAGGCGACGAUCUGUAGCGGGUCUGAGAGGAUGAUCCGCCACACUGGGACUGAGACACGGCCCAGACUCCUACGGGAGGCAGCAGUGGGGAAUAUUGGACAAUGGGCGGAAGCCUGAUCCAGCCAUGCCGCGUGUGUGAAGAAGGCCUUUUGGUUGUAAAGCACUUUAAGCGAGGAGGAGGCUACCUGGAUUAAUACUCUAGGAUAGUGGACGUUACUCGCAGAAUAAGCACCGGCUAACUCUGUGCCAGCAGCCGCCGCAACAC